AUCAUCGAGUCUUUGAACGCAAGUUGCGCCCGAAGCCUCCGGGCCGAGGGCACGUCUGCCUGGGCGUCACGCA
rnacentral:rRNA from 1 species